rnacentral:rRNA from 1 species
AACUAACGCUGGCGGCGUGCCUAACACAUGCAAGUCGUACGAGAAAGCCGGCUUCGGCUGGUGAGUAAAGUGGCGCACGGGUGAGUAACGCGUGGAUAAUCUGCCCUUAAGUGUGGAAUAACGUACCGAAAGGUGCGCUAAUACCGCAUAAUGCCUGGCAACACAAGUUGUCCGGCCAAAGAAGGCCUCUGUUUACAAGCUUUCGCUUCAGGAUGAGUCCGCGUACCAUUAGCUUGUUGGUGGGGUAAUGGCCUACCAAGGCUGCGAUGGUUAGCUGGUCUGAGAGGAUGAUCAGCCACACUGGAACUGAGACACGGUCCAGACUCCUACGGGAGGCAGCAGUGAGGAAUAUUGCGCAAUGGGGGCAACCCUGACGCAGCAACGCCGCGUGAGUGAGGUAAGGUUUUCGGACUGUAAAGCUCUGUCGAGCGGGAAGAAGUGUACCAUGGACUAAUAUCCAUGAUAUUUGACGGUACCGCUAGAGG